CAGAAAAUAAGAACCGCUAAAAAUGUUCCUGUUUCAAUAGUUUGUGCUCGAGGACAAAAGUCAGGAUAAAGGUGCCAGUCUGCUGACCGUAUACCGUCCGAAAACUCGUAAACAUAUGUCUGGAGGAAGUUUUUUCUGAGAUGGAUUGGCAUUGCUAUGGAAGUUUUAAUAGCAGAAGCACGCAGGUCAAAACACCGGAGAAGCUGCCUCUGCUUGGUCGAAACAGAUACGCCGAUUGGCGAUCUAGGUGCUAGCGUCGACGGCGAAACUCCCUUAAAGUUCUCUAGAAAGUUCUAAUCUGUCCGCUCGUUGGGUCGAAUUAAGUGCCUUGGACGUCCUUCAUAUGAUGAGUCGAUACCGAAGAAGCAACAUCGCUGAACUGUGCGGCAAUGGUGCCUUCUGGAGUCGGGAGAAUGCCUUGCAAAGCGAAGGCACACCAGUGUUAUAUUGCUGCGAGAUUCGGAAACGCUGCUCCAGAUCAUCAACACAGCGGUCCGAUAUGGAAACGAUGCCUGUCGGCUUAUUCAGAUUCAUUGAACCGAUCGAAUCCAUAAAUAAAAAUGGAGAAUAAAUUAGAAACAAAAUAAUGAAUCAUAAAUCUGUUUAUUUUUAUUUUUGACAAAUUUGAAUUUAAA